AUUGAACGCUGGCGGCAGGCCUAACACAUGCAAGUCGAGCGGAUGAAGGGAGCUUGCUCCUGGAUUCAGCGGCGGACGGGUGAGUAAUGCCUAGGAAUCUGCCUGGUAGUGGGGGAUAACGUCCGGAAACGGGCGCUAAUACCGCAUACGUCCUGAGGGAGAAAGUGGGGGAUCUUCGGACCUCACGCUAUCAGAUGAGCCUAGGUCGGAUUAGCUAGUUGGUGGGGUAAAGGCCUACCAAGGCGGCGAUCCGUAACUGGUCUGAGAGGAUGAUCAGUCACACUGGAACUGAGGCACGGUCCAGACUCCUACGGGAGGCAGCAGUGGGGAAUAUUGGACAAUGGGCGAAAGCCUGAUCCAGCCAUGCCGCGUGUGUGAAGAAGGUCUUCGGAUUGUAAAGCACUUUAAGUUGGGAGGAAGGGCAGUAAGUUAAUACCUUGCUGUUUUGACGUUACCAACAGAAUAAGCACCGGCUAACUUCGUG
rnacentral:rRNA from 1 species